UUUGUCUCUAAAAAAAAUAAUUCAAAUAAAUAUUAUAAAUAUUUGAUUGAAUGUAUGUUAUGAGGAAUCGAUUAAUGUCAGUGUUUUAUGAGGAUUCAAUUAAUGUCAGUGAAAAAAGCCAAAGUGAAUGAUCAAAAGCAAAAAGAAGAUGAGUGACUGAAAGAUUCACCACCUGUGGAGUUGGGAAUUGAGGAAGGGAAGAAGAGGUAGCGGAUAGUUAUUGCUGGGGAAAAAAUUCGGGGAUGAAAUUUUCUGGAAUUUCUUCCAACAGUCUUGGCUUCACUAGACCAAUGAAACAACUCUAGAAAUGAAAAAAAAAAUGAUUGAUAGUGUCCGAUCAAACACCGGGUGUCACCACUGUUGGGUCAUAAAAUUGAUUAAAAAAUGGAUUCUGCAGCUUUACCGGCAUUCACUGGAGGCAGAGGGAUUGCAUCGACCUCGUCGAACCAGGUGGAACAUUGAGAAGACCCAUUUACCGACCGAUAGACAUCCCCCGUCAACGAUUGGUAUGAAGUGAUGGGACCAGCGUCACUUCUACUGCUGUCCCUUCGCCAAAUGCAACAGGCUAUUUUAUGCAUCCGUUUGAGGGAUAUUCACGUUGACAAACCGAGAGAAAAAACCACCGCAAAUAUUUCAUUGAUCUAAAAACUCCGAUGGUUAACACCGGUAAUUGCAAAAAGUCGAUGUCAGUUUCAAAAAUUCGUGAUAAAAGUGUUUCUCUCAUCCGGGCGUUCCAUCAACUCGAUGAAACC